rnacentral:rRNA from 1 species
AGCAGUAGCCGCGGGAAUACGUAGGUCCCGAGCGUUGUCCGGAUUUAUUGGGCGUAAAGCGAGCGCAGGCGGUUAGAUAAGUCUGAAGUUAAAGGCUGUGGCUUAGCCAUAGUACGCUUUGGAAACUGUUUAACUUGAGUGCAAGAGGGGAGAGUGGAAUUCCAUGUGUAGCGGUGAAAUGCGUAGAUAUAUGGAGGAACACCGGUGGCGAAAGCGGCUCUCUGGCUUGUAACUGACGCUGAGGCUCGAAAGCGUGGGGAGCAAACAGGAUUAGAUACCCCUGUAGUCCCUGUCUCUUAUACA